UACAGAGGUCCCAAGCGUUGUUCGGAUUCAUUGGGCGUAAAGGGUGUGUAGGUGGCGCCGUAAGUCGGGUGUGAAAUUUCGGAGCUUAACUCCGAAACUGCAUUCGAUACUGCGGUGCUUGAGGACUGGAGAGGAGACUGGAAUUCAUGGUGUAGCAGUGAAAUUCGUAGAUAUCGGGAGGAACACCAGUGGCGAAGGCGGCGAUCUGGGAAGAUACUGACGCUGAGGUGCGAAAGCGUGGGGAGCAAACAGG
rnacentral:rRNA from 1 species